rnacentral:antisense_RNA from 1 species
CAGACCCCAGCACAUGGCCAUUCAACCAAAGCAACCUCUCACACUUGGUUGAUUGGUGAGUUGGAGGCUCCAGUGGCCCCUGUCAGACUUGAGACCUCAGACCUGCCCACCACAGCCAGUUUCCCACACAGUCUGGGACUGACUGGGUGACGGAGAAGGAUCCUUACCAUGGAAUCUUAUCCAGGUCCAGCCCCAGGGUUGCAAAGAUUGAUGAUUGGAAGUUGGGACUCCAGCCCAAGCUGGGGGAGGAUCCUUUCCCCUCUGGGCUCCUGUGUUUCCACCUAAGCCCGGCUCACCCAUGAGCCAGGCAUCUGCUGGCAGAUGAGAACAAGACGUGGUCUCAGGAAGUCUGCAGGCAGACCAGGAGCCCAGGCCUUCAAGGAUGAGACCUGAGGCCAUGCCGCAUUCCUGGCCUGGCCAUGUCUGUUCAUAGAAUUGCCUCCACGUUAGCCAGCCCCAUGCCUCCAGACUCUGUGUCUACACAGCUCACCUUGGCCAUCUUGGGGCCAGAGGGCAGAAGCAGCUUAUGUUGGGAAGGGGCAUCUGAGAAGGAGGAGCAGGUCUGCUUGUCAAGAAUCCAAGCACGCCUGUGUUCUGUGGCCACAGGAGAGGAGGGGCCGCUUUUAAAUACAAGCCUACUCCUGUCGUUGGACCAGAACAAAGACCUACUGGCCAGAAGCACAUGAAAGACUAGAGCACAAUGGUACGAUCUUGGCUCACUGCAACUUCCACCUCCCGAGUUCAAGCAAUUCUCCUGACAGAAGUCCACUCAAGCCAGCCAUUGUAGCUAGCAUCGGGGCUCCAGCC